rnacentral:rRNA from 1 species
CUGAGAGGGUGAUCGGCCACACUGGGACUGAAACACGCCCAGACUCCUACGGGAGGCAGCAGUAGGGAAUCUUCCGCAAUGGACGAAAGUCUGACGGAGCAACGCCGCGUGAGUGAUGAAGGUUUUCGGAUCGUAAAGCUCUGUUGUUAGGGAAGAACAAGUACCGUUCGAAUAGGGCGGUACCUUGACGGUACCUAACCAGAAAGCCACGGCUAACUACGUGCCAGCAGCCGCGGUAAUACGUAGGUGGCAAGCGUUGUCCGGAAUUAUUGGGCGUAAAGGGCUCGCAGGCGGUUUCUUAAGUCUGAUGUGAAAGCCCCUGGCUCAACCGGGGAGGGUCAUUGGAAACUGGGGAACUUGAGUGCAGAAGAGGAGAGUGGAAUUCCACGUGUAGCGGUGAAAUGCGUAGAGAUGUGGAGGAACACCAGUGGCGAAGGCG